rnacentral:rRNA from 1 species
GAUGAACGCUGGCGGCGUGCCUAAUACAUGCAAGUCGAGCGAACAGACGAGGAGCUUGCUCCUCUGACGUUAGCGGCGGACGGGUGAGUAACACGUGGAUAACCUACCUAUAAGACUGGGAUAACUUCGGGAAACCGGAGCUAAUACCGGAUAACAUGUUGAACUGCAUGGUUCAACAGUGAAAGACGGUCUUGCUGUCACUUAUAGAUGGAUCCGCGCCGCAUUAGCUAGUUGGUAAGGUAACGGCUUACCAAGGCAACGAUGCGUAGCCGACCUGAGAGGGUGAUCGGCCACACUGGAACUGAGACACGGUCCAGACUCCUACGGGAGGCAGCAGUAGGGAAUCUUCCGCAAUGGGCGAAAGCCUGACGGAGCAACGCCGCGUGAGUGAAGAAGGUCUUCGGAUCGUAAAACUCUGUUAUUAGGGAAGAACAAAUGUGUAAGUAACUAUGCACGUCUUGACGGUACCUAAUCAGAAAGCCACGGCUAACUACGUG